rnacentral:tRNA from 1 species
UUAGGCUAAACUUCAAACCAAGGGCCUUCAAAGCCCU